rnacentral:rRNA from 1 species
GACGAACGCUGGCGGCGUGCUUAACACAUGCAAGUCGAACGAAGUGGCGAACGGGUGAGUAACGCGUAAUCAACCUGCCCUUCAGAGGGGGCCAACAGUUGGAAACGACUGCUAAUCCCGCAUACUGAAGUAGGGGCGUGCGUCGGAUUAGCUAGUUGGAGGGGUAACGGCCCACCAAGGCGAUGAUCAGUAGCAGGCCUGAGAGGAUGAACGGCCACAGUGGGACUGAGACACGGCCCAGACUCCGACGGGAGGCAGCAGUGGGGAAUCUUCCGCAAUGGACGAAAGUCUGACGGAGCAACGCCGGGGGAGUGAUGACGGCCUUCGGGUUGUAAAGCUCUGUUAAUCGGGACGCGGUACCGGAAUAGAAAGCCACGGCUAACUACGUGCCAGCGGCCGCGGUAAUAC